AUAUGUUUAGGAGACCCCCUAAUCCCCUCAGAGAGCUACAAUUCAGAAUGUUUUUGACCAUCAAAAACUUCUUUGCAGGUUAAUCUGGAAAUUGUAGCUCUCUGAGGGGAUUAGGGGGUCUCCUAAUCAUUC